rnacentral:rRNA from 1 species
ACGCUCGACACCUACGGGGGGCAGCAGUGAGGAAUAUUGGUCAAUGGACGCAAGUCUGAACCAGCCAUGCCGCGUGCAGGAUGACGGCUCUAUGAGUUGUAAACUGCUUUUGUACGAGGGUAAACGCAGAUACGCGUAUCUGUCUGAAAGUAUCGUACGAAUAAGGAUCGGCUAACUCCGUGACAGCAGCCGCGGUAAUCUGAGCGGGCUGGCAAGGC